UCUUAUGGAUGAACAAAGAAAGUGGUUUCUUGAGGUAGAAACUACUCUUGGUGACAAUGCCAUGAA
rnacentral:pre_miRNA from 3 species